rnacentral:tRNA from 1 species
GGAGGGGUGCCUGAGUGGUUGAAAGGGCUGGUCUCGAAAACCAGUAUGCCCGCAAGGGUAUCGCGAGUUCGAAUCUCGCCCCCUCCG